UACGGAGGGUGCAAGCGUUAAUCGGAAUUACUGGGCGUAAAGCGUGCGUAGGCGGAUUGUUAAGUUAGGGGUGAAAUCCCGGGGCUCAACCCCGGAACUGCCUUUAAUACUGGCAAUCUCGAGUCCGAGAGAGGUGAGUGGAAUUCCGAGUGUAGAGGUGAAAUUCGUAGAUAUUCGGAGGAACACCAGUGGCGAAGGCGGCUGCACUGGCGUCGAGUAACUGGACG
rnacentral:rRNA from 1 species